rnacentral:rRNA from 1 species
UCAAGUGACUAAGUGUAUGUGGUGGAUGCCUUGGCGAUCACAGGCGAUGAAGGACGUAGUAGCUUGCGAUAAGCUGCGGGGAGCCGGCAAACGGGCUUUGAUCCGCAGAUUUCCGAAUGGGGGAACCCACCGACGUAGGUCGGUAUCACGCACUGAAUACAUAGGUGCGUGAGGCGAACGGAGCGAACUGAAACAUCUAAGUAGCUCCAGGAAAAGAAAUCAACCGAGAUUGCGAAAGUAGCGGCGAGCGAAAUUGCAGCAGCCCAGUGUUCUGAUAGCACGAACGACAGCAGAAGGGUCUGGAAAGGCCCGCUAUAGAGGGUGAUAGCCCCGUAUGCGAAAUCGAACGUGUGGUACUAAGGAACCGAUAAGUAGGGCGGGACACGUGACAUCCUGUCUGAAGAUGGGGGGACCAUCCUCCAAGGCUAAAUACUCGUGAUCGACCGAUAGUGAACCAGUACUGUGAAGGAAAGGCGAAAAGAACCCCGGGAGGGGAGUGAAAUAGAACCUGAAACCGCAUACAUACAAACAGUAGGAGCCCCUGCAGUGGGGUGACUGCGUACCUUUUGCAUAAUGGGUCAGCGACUUACGUUUUGUGGCGAGCUUAACCGAGUAGGGGAGGCGUAGCGAAAGCGAGUUCGAAUAGAGCGACAAGUCUCAAGGCGUAGACCCGAAACCAGAUGAGCUAUCCAUGGCCAGGUUGAAGGUGUGGUAACACACACUGGAGGACCGAACCGACUAGUGUUGCAAAAUUAGCGGAUGAGCUGUGGAUAGGGGUGAAAGGCUUAACAAAUCUGGAGAUAGCUGGUUCUCCCCGAAAACUAUUGAGGUAGUGCCUCGUGUAUUGCUCCAGGGGGUAGAGCACUGUUAUGGCUAGGGGGACAUGGCGUCUUACCAAACCAUGGCAAACUCCGAAUACUUGGAAGUAAGAGCACGGGAGACAGAGCACCGGGUGCUAACGUCCGGACUCAAGAGGGAAACAACCCAGACCGCCGUUUAAGGUCCCAAAUAUUGACUAAGUGGAAAACGAAGUGUGAAGGCUAAGACAGUCAGGAAGUUGGCUUAGAAGCAGCCAUCCUUCAAAGAAAGCGUAAUAGCUCACUGAUCGAGUCCUCAUGCGCGGAAGAUGUAACGGGGCUAAGUCAAUAACCGAAAGCGCGGAUUUGCAUGAAAGUGCAAGUGGUAGGGGAGCGUUCUGUAAGCCUGCGAAGGUGGUUCGAGAGGACUGCUGGAGGUAUCAGAAGUGCGAAUGCUGACAUGAGUAACGUUAAAGCGGGUGAAAAGCCCGCUCGCCGUAAGCCCAAGGUUUCCUGCUCUACGUUCAUCGGAGCAGGGUGAGUCGGCCCCUAAGGCCAGGCUGAGAAGCGUAGUCGAUGGGAAGCAGAUUAAUAUUUCUGCACCAUGUGCAAGUGCGAUGGGGGGACGGAGUGCGAAAGAUCAUCCGGGUGUUGGAUGUCCCGGUUUGUGAGUGUAGAAGGCCGACAGGCAAAUCCGUCGGCGGAUCUUCGAGACAAAGCAUCGAGGUUCUACGGAACCGAAGUGAUCGGAAGUGCUUCCAGGAAAAGCCUCUAAGCUUCAGCUUGCAUAUGACCGUACCGUAAACCGACACUGGUGGGCGAGUUGAAUAUACUCAGGCGCUUGAGAGAACUCGGGAGAAGGAACUCGGCAAAUUGACACCGUAACUUCGGGAUAAGGUGUGCCUUUGUAGCGUGAAGAGAGAAACACUCGGAGCGUGAAGAGGCCUCAGAGAAUCGGUGGCUGCAACUGUUUAUUAAAAACACAGCACUCUGCAAAGACGAAAGUCGACGUAUAGGGUGUGAUGCCUGCCCGGUGCUGGAAGAUUAAGUGAUGGGGUGAGAGCUCCUGAUCGAAGUCCCAGUAAACGGCGGCCGUAACUAUAACGGUCCUAAGGUAGCGAAAUUCCUUGUCGGGUAA